rnacentral:rRNA from 1 species
UUUUGGACAAUGGGCGCAAGCCUGAUCCAGCCAUGCCGCGUGAGUGAAGAAGGCCUUCGGGUUGUAAAGCUCUUUCGGUGAAGACGCAACGGUUAGUGCUAAUAACACUGACUAAUGACGGUACUCACAGAAGAAGCACCGGCUAACUACGUGCCAGCAGCCGCGGUAAUACGUAGGGUGCAGGCGUUAAUCGGAAUUACUGGGCGUAAAGCGUGCGCAGGCGGUUUGCUAAGACAGGUGUGAAAUCCCCGGGCUUAACCUGGGAAUUGCGCUUGUAACUGGCAAGCUAGAGUGUGGCAGAGGGGGGUGGAAUUCCACGUGUAGCAGUGAAAUGCGUAGAUAUGUGGAGGAACACCGAUGGCGAAGGCAGCCCCCUGGGUUAACACUGACGCUCAUGCACGAA